GACGAACGCUGGCGGCGUGCUUAACACAUGCAAGUCGAACGGAAAGGCCCUGCUUUUGUGGGGUGCUCGAGUGGCGAACGGGUGAGUAACACGUGAGUAACCUGCCCUUGACUUUGGGAUAACUUCAGGAAACUGGGGCUAAUACCGGAUAGGAUCUCCUGCUGCAUGGUGGGGGUUGGAAAGUUUCGGCGGUUGGGGAUUGACUCGCGGCUUAUCAGCUUGUUGGUGGGGUAGUGGCUUACCAAGGCUUUGACGGGUAGCCUGCCUGAGAGGGUGAACAGCCACAUUGGGACUGCGGUACGGCGCAGAAUGCAACGGGAGGCAGCAGUGGAGAAUAUUGCACAAUGGGCGGAAGCCUGAUGCAGCAACGCCGCGUGCGGGAUGACGGCCUUCGGGUUGUAAACCGCUUUCGCCUGUGACGAAGCGUGAGUGACGGUAAUGGGUAAAGAAGCACCGGCUAACUACGUG
rnacentral:rRNA from 1 species